UACGGAGGAUCCAAGCGUUAUCCGGAAUUACUGGGCGUAAAGAGUUGCGUAGGUGGCAUGGUAAGUUAGUAGUGAAAGCGUACGGCUCAACCGUAUAUACAUUACUAAAACUGCCAAGCUAGAGGACGAGAGAGGUAGAUGGAAUUCCCAGUGUAGCGGUGGAAUGCGUAGAUAUUGGGAGGAACACCGAUGGCGUAGGCAGUCUACUGGCUCGUUUCUGACACUCAGGCACGAAAGCGUGGGGAGCAAACGGG
rnacentral:rRNA from 1 species